UACGGAGGCUGCAAGCGUUAUCCGGAAUUACUGGGUUUAAAGGGUGCGUAGGCGGCUUGAUAAGUCAGAGGUGAAAGCCUAUCGCUUAACGAUAGAAUUGACUUUGAUACUGUAAAGCUUGAAAGGGGUUGAGGUCAGCAGAAUGUGGCAUGUAGCGGUGAAAUGCAUAGAUAUGCCAUAGAACACCGAUUGCGAAGGCAGCUGGCUGGGCCUACUUUGACGCUGAGGCACGAAAGCGUGGGGAGCGAACAGG
rnacentral:rRNA from 1 species